CCAAACACUUCCUUAGUGCCCUGUUUUCCAAUAUGGAUCAGGUUCACGCUGCCUUCCCAGUGUUCCAGAAUUCAUUGUUUCUGCACCAAGAAAGAACACUCCGUAAGUCCUCUAGAAGGAACUUCUUAAGUCUCCGUUCACAGGAGUCUGCGUCAGCCUGGGUCUCCCUCGACCCACAGGCUUGACGUCAGCUGUCCUUUUCCUGAGUACAGACCACAUUCCAUUUUGGUCCCCAUCAGCAGUUUGAAUCGUCACUGUGGAUUAAGUGGGACGUGCUCCUCUUUCUCCUACCAGUUUGCGUUGUUGGCUGAGAACCUGCAGGGAGCAACCCAUUGCAUUUUAAGCUAAAAGCAUUUCAUCUUUGCGAGGACUUACCACUGUCAUCACUGUUGUAAACAAUGCCCAGGAUGACCGUGGGAGCACUCCGUGCAGGGAGCCAGACAGCCUUCCUGAGAACCCUCCCGGAGCGGGCUCAGAGAGGUGGGGUACCCGUGACGUGCUUAUUCAAGUGCUGGUGU